CAAAAUAUAGUAAAAAUUACAUUUCACUUACAUUGAAAAAUUAGAUAACUUCUUAUUUUGU
rnacentral:tRNA from 1 species